CAAUAGCGUAUAUUAAAGUUGUUGCAGUUAAAAAGCUCGUAGUUGGAUUUCUGGUAGGAGCGACCGUGCCGAACUUGAUUGUUCGAGUAUUGUGUUGUCUUCAGCCAUCCUCGUGGAGAACUUUUCUAACAUUAACUUGUUGGGAUUGGGACCCGCGUCGUUUACUGUGAAAAAAUUAGAGUGUUUAAAGCAGGCAUUAGCUUGAAUACAUUAGCAUGGAAUAAUAAGAUAGGACUUUGGUACUAUUUUGUUGGUUUGCAUACCAAAUUAAUGAUCAACAGGAACAGUUUGAGGAUAUUCGUAUGAACAUGUCAGAGGUGAAAUUCUUGGAUUUUGAUCAGACGAACUACCGCGAAAGCAUUUAUCAAGGAUGUUUUCAUUAA
rnacentral:rRNA from 1 species